GAUGAACGCUGGCGGCGUGCCUAAUACAUGCAAGUCGAGCGAACAGACGAGGAGCUUGCUCCUCUGACGUUAGCGGCGGACGGGUGAGUAACACGUGGAUAACCUACCUAUAAGACUGGGAUAACUUCGGGAAACCGGAGCUAAUACCGGAUAAUAUAUUGAACCGCAUGGUUCAAUAGUGAAAGACGGUUUUGCUGUCACUUAUAGAUGGAUCCGCGCCGCAUUAGCUAGUUGGUAAGGUAACGGCUUACCAAGGCAACGAUGCGUAGCCGACCUGAGAGGGUGAUCGGCCACACUGGAACUGAGACACGGUCCAGACUCCUACGGGAGGCAGCAGUAGGGAAUCUUCCGCAAUGGGCGAAAGCCUGACGGAGCAACGCCGCGUGAGUGAUGAAGGUCUUCGGAUCGUAAAACUCUGUUAUUAGGGAAGAACAAAUGUGUAAGUAACUAUGCACGUCUUGACGGGACCUAUCAGAAAGCCACGGCUAACUACGUG
rnacentral:rRNA from 1 species